AGCGAACGCUGGCGGCAGGCCUAACACAUGCAAGUCGAACGGACCCUUCGGGGAUGGUGGCGGACGGGUGAGUAACACGUGGGAACGUGCCUCUAGGUUCGGAAUAGCCCCUGGAUACGGGUGGUAAUGCCGAAUGUGCCCCUCGGGGGACAGAUUUAUCGCCUUUAGAGCGGCCCGCGUCUGAUUAGCUAGUUGGUGAGGUAAUGGCUCACCAAGGCGACGAUCAGUAGCUGGUCUGAGAGGUUGACCAGCCACAUUGGGACUGAGACACGGCCCAAACUCCUACGGGAGGCAGCAGUGGGGAAUCUUACGCAAUGGGCGAAAGCCUGACGCAGCCAUGCCGCGUGGAUGAUGAAGGUCUUAGGAUUGUAAAAUCCUUUCACCGGUGAAGAUAAUGACUGUAGCCGGAGAAGAAGCCCCGGCUAACUUCGUGCCAGCCGCCGCGGUAAGAC
rnacentral:rRNA from 1 species